rnacentral:tRNA from 1 species
GCGCUCGUAGCUCAAUUGGAUAGAGCAUCUGACUACGGAUCAGAAGGUUAGGGG